CUGGGUGCCUGGAGUGUCCCUUUAAGUGUGCAGGAUUUGUUCACAUACACCUGCUCCCUUAGAUAUCCCCAUAGAAAGUAAUCAAGAGCUGAAAGGUAGGGCAACUUUGGCUGCCAAUUAAUCUGAGAAUUUCUUGAAAUGAUCCACUCACCGAACGGUUCUCAUUUUUAAAAUAGAAUUCCACUAUUUUUACUCGUCCUUCCUUU